rnacentral:rRNA from 1 species
CUAAAAGUCGUGGUGAGAGCGGCGGUAGUCAGGAGGGGGGAGGUGUUUUGCGGAAUGACGAAUCGGAAAGGGAGCAUAGACGUCUGGGCAAUUCAAAGGGGAAAUGCCUCGGUGCAGCUGGGGAAAUGGCUUUGAAACUGUACGGUGUGAGGCCGGGAUGGGGUAGCGGAAUUCGCAGUGUAGGGGUGAAAUGCGGAGAUAUUGGGAGGAACACCAGUGGCGAAUGCGGCUACCUGGGCAGGUUCUGACGCUGAGGCGCGAAAGCGUGGGUAGCAAACAGGAUUAGAUACCCGAGGAGUU